GACGAACGCUGGCGGCGUGCUUAACACAUGCAAGUCGAACGGAAAGUCCCUACGUUUGUGUUGUGCCCGAGUGGCUAACGUGUAGGUGACACGUGAGUAACCUGCCCUUGAUUUUCGGAUAACUUCAGGAAGCUAAGCCUAAUACCGGACAGGAGCUCCCGCUGCAGGGUAGGGGUUGGAAAGUUUCGGCGGUUGGGGAUGGAAUCGCGGCUGAUGGGCUUGUUGGUGGGGUAGUGGAUUACCAAGGCAUUGGCGGGUAGCCGGCCUGAGAGGGUGACCGGCCACAUGGGGACUGAGAUACGGCACAGACUGCUACGGGAGGCAGCAGUGGGGAAUAUUAUACAAUGGGAGGGAGCCUGAUGCAGAAACGCCGCGUGGGGGAUGACGGCAUGCGGGUUGUAAACCGCUGCCGCCUGUGACGAAGCGGGAGUGACGGUACCGGGUAAAGAAGCACCGGCUAACUACGUG
rnacentral:rRNA from 1 species